rnacentral:rRNA from 1 species
CCUACGGGAGGCAGCAGUGGGGAAUAUUGCACAAUGGGCGCAAGCCUGAUGCAGCAACGCCGCGUGAGGGACGACGGCCUUCGGGUUGUAAACCUCUUUUAGUAGGGAAGAAGCGAAAGUGACGGUACCUGCAGAAAAAGCACCGGCUAACUACGUGCCAGCAGCCGCGGUAAUACGUAGGGUGCAAGCGUUAUCCGGAAUUAUUGGGCGUAAAGAGCUCGUAGGCGGUUUGUCACGUCUGCUGUGAAAACUGGAGGCUCAACCUCCAGCCUGCAGUGGGUACGGGCAGACUAGAGUGCGGUAGGGGAGAUUGGAAUUCCUGGUGUAGCGGUGGAAUGCGCAGAUAUCAGGAGGAACACCGAUGGCGAAGGCAGAUCUCUGGGCCGUAACUGACGCUGAGGAGCGAAAGCAUGGGGAGCGAACAGGAUUAGAUACCCUGGUAGUCCAUGCCGUAAACGUUGGGAACUAGAUGUAGGGACCAUUCCACGGUUUCUGUGUCGCAGCUAACGCAUUAAGUUCCCCGCCUGGGGAGUACGGCCGCAAGGCUAAAACUCAAAGGAAUUGACGG